AUUGAACGCUGGCGGCAGGCCUAACACAUGCAAGUCGAGCGGAUGAAGGGAGCUUGCUCCUGGAUUCAGCGGCGGACGGGUGAGUAAUGCCUAGGAAUCUGCCUGGUCGUGGGGGAUAACGUCCGGAAACGGGCGCUAAUACCGCAUACGUCCCGAGGGAGAAAGUGGGGGAUCUUCGGACCUCACGCGAUCGGAUGAGCCUAGGUCGGAUUAGCUAGUUGGUGGGGUAAAGGCCUACCAAGGCGACGAUCCGUAACUGGUCUGAGAGGAUGAUCAGCCACACUGGAACUGAGACACGGUCCAGACUCCUACGGGAGGCAGCAGUGGGGAAUAUUGGACAAUGGGCGAAAGCCUGAUCCAGCCAUGCCGCGUGUAUGAAGAAGGUCUUCGGAUUGUAAAGCACUUUAAGUUGGGAGGAAGGGCAGUAAGUUAAUACCUGGCUGUUUUGACGUUACCAUCAGAAUAAGCACCGGCUAACUUCGUG
rnacentral:rRNA from 1 species